rnacentral:rRNA from 1 species
GAUGAACGCUGGCGGCGUGCCUAAUACAUGCAAGUCGAGCGAACAGACGAGGAGCUUGCUCCUCUGACGUUAGCGGCGGACGGGUGAGUAACACGUGGAUAACCUACCUAUAAGACUGGGAUAACUUCGGGAAACCGGAGCUAAUACCGGAUAAUAUAUUGAACCGCAUGGUUCAAUAGUGAAAGACGGUUUUGCUGUCACUUAUAGAUGGAUCCGCGCCGCAUUAGCUAGUUGGUAAGGUAACGGCUUACCAAGGCGACGAUGCGUAGCCGACCUGAGAGGGUGAUCGGCCACACUGGAACGGAGACACGGUCCAGACUCCUACGGGAGGCAGCAGUAGGGAAUCUUCCGCAAUGGGUGAAAGCCUGACGGAGCAACGCCGCGUGAGUGAUGAAGGUCUUCGGAUCGUAAAACUCUGUUAUUAGGGAAGAACAAAUGUGUAAGUAACUAUGCACGUCUUGACGGUACCUAAUCAGAAAGCCACGGCUAACUACGUG